rnacentral:rRNA from 1 species
UACGAAGGGGGCUAGCGUUGCUCGGAAUCACUGGGCGUAAAGCGCACGUAGGCGGAUUGUUAAGUCAGGGGUGAAAUCCUGGAGCUCAACUCCAGAACUGCCUUUGAUACUGGCGAUCUCGAGUCCGGGAGAGGUGAGUGGAACUGCGAGUGUAGAGGUGAAAAUUCGUAGAUAUUCGCAAGAACACCAGUGGCGAAGGCGGCUCACUGGCCCGGUACUGACGCUGAGGUGCGAAAGCGUGGGGAG